rnacentral:rRNA from 1 species
GUGGACGCCAGUCUGCGUGGAGCCGACCUUGAAAUACCACCCUUUAAUGUUUGAUGUUCUAACGUGGACCCGUUACCCGGGUUGCGGACAGUGUCUGGUGGGUAGUUUGACUGGGGCGGUCUCCUCCUAAAGAGUAACGGAGGAGCACGAAGGUUGGCUAAUCCUGGUCGGACAUCAGGAGGUUAGUGCAAUGGCAUAAGCCAGCUUGACUGCGAGCGUGACGGCGCGAGCAGGUGCGAAAGCAGGUCAUAGUGAUCCGGUGGUUCUGAAUGGAAGGGCCAUCGCUCAACGGAUAAAAGGUACUCCGGGGAUAACAGGCUGAUACCGCCCAAGAGUUCAUAUCGACGGCGGUGUUUGGCACCUCGAUGUCGGCUCAUCACAUCCUGGGGCUGAAGUAGGUCCCAAGGGUAUGGCUGUUCGCCAUUUAAAGUGGUACGCGAGCUGGGUUUAGAACGUCGUGAGACAGUUCGGUCCCUAUCUGCCGUGGGCGCUGGAGAACUGAGGGGGGCUGCUCCUAGUACGAGAGGACCGGAGUGGACGCAUCACUGGUGUUCGGGUUGUCAUGCCAAUG